UACCAAAUUGGUAGUUCUGCCUCUUUCCUCAUUAAAGACAAUCUUGUAGUGACACUGGAAAGCCCUCUGUUGAACGAAUUCCUCCCCCGGUGGAUUAUCUGUGUAUUGCAUGUAUCUAAUUGUAUACAUCAGGUUUUUCAAGAAAAAAAAAUAUCACAUUGCUCA